rnacentral:sRNA from 1 species
AACCAGCAAGGGAAGGAAAGCGGGGAAGGGAGGAAGGAAACGAACGAGGGGGAGGGAGGUCCCUGUUUUGGAGGAGCUAGGAGCGUUGCCGGCCCCUGAAGUGGAGAGAGAGGGAGGUGCUUCGCCGUUUAUCCUGCCAGGGGAGGUCCCGGCUUCCCGUGGAGGCUCCGGACCAAGCCCCUUCAGCUUCUCCCUCCGGAUCGAUGUGCUGCUGUUAACCCGUGAGGAGGCGGCGGCAGCGGAAGAUGGUGUUGCUGAGAGUGUUAAUUCUGCUCCUCUCCUGGGCGGCGGGGAUGGGAGGUCAGUAUGGGAAUCCUUUAAAUAAAUAUAUCAGACAUUAUGAAGGAUUAUCUUACAAUAUGGAUUCAUUACACCAAAAACACCAGCGUGCCAAAAGAGCAGUCUCACAUGAGGACCAAUUUUUACGUCUAGAUUUCCAUGCCCAUGGAAGGUGAAGAAGGAAGUUUUAGCCAUGGGUCUGUUAUUGAUGGAAGAUUUGAAGGAUUCAUCCAGACUCGUGGUGGCACAUUUUAUGUUGAGCCAGCAGAGAGAUAUAUUAAAGACCGAACUCUGCC